AUUGUAAUUUUCCUGAUUAUCAAUAAUUUCUUUUUUUGUUCAUCAUCAUCUAUGUUGCUAAUCAUCUAUGUUGUAUCAUGCACAGGUCGAUCGCAUCAAGCGUGAAUAGUUGCAAAAAACAAAUUUAAAAUAUUUCUGUAGGUCGUUUUAUUGCUUUGUUGGCACAUUUCUAUACCCUGUUUUUAUUGCUGUAAAUGGUCGCUGCAAUAUGCACUUUGCUGCCCUUGUUCUUGUUCCUUGUUACUCUCUCCUGAAUUGUACUUACAUCGCACGAAACUUGUCGUCGUUGUACCUACGAAUAUCCCAUAAUUUGCGACUGCCAUCAAAUAGCUUUGACAUUACCAACCUGUCUGCUUUGCUUCGCUUUGUUUGCUUGGUUUGCUUUGCUGUUUGCUUCUAGACGUUUAAGCUGCUUUAUAUUUUUUCUGUGUUUCAUCUCGCGUUUUGACCUACUUGUUUUCAGUUUCUAAGGAUCUAACCAUUUAAGAAUCUCCACUCAUUCUAUGUUUUGCUAAAAGCCACUGGUAUCACACAUGGACGACUCUUCUGCCAACAUUAACCGUGACGCCUCCAUCACGCGGCAGGUAGCCCCGCUCAACUACUGCACCUGCAAAAGCGGCAAUUUCUGCACGGCCCUUUACUAGACAUCACACUACUUUGUCUCGACCGCGGGUUUUCACCAUCACCCUCCAAGCGGCCGCCAGCGCCACCACCGCAAUCGACGCCGUGAAGCUCCAAUAUAACUACUGCCAGGAUCUCCGGACGGUACGCUGUUUACGUUACUAAGUCCACGCCAGCGGUUCUGUGCGGUUCGGUUCCAAUGGAACCGCAACGUUUUAACCGUCUUCGUAUGGAUUAAGCUGCAUACGGCGCUCGGGCGGAGGAGGACGUCGAGACGGCGGCGGUAUCGUCGACGUACUUGGCGCAGCUGAACAAGACGUUUCAGGAGAUGGGCUGAUCGCCGAACAUGAAAACAAAUCUUCCCGAGAAGCCUGAUGCGUAUGUCUUCUGCUCGAAUCGGUCGGCGCGGGUGUAUGUGCCGGGAAGGCGCUGUGAGCGUUCCCCGGUUCGCCAAAUGCCAAUGAUCGUUACGGUUACAUAUAAUGUCAAUUACUUUUGCAACAUUUUUGGUACAAGUACUUAAUUAUUCAUUUGACUCACAACUGCACUAACUAAAUAAACGUAAAUACACGUAUAUUCUUGUCUACAAUUGUUGAAAGGUGACCUUUAGCGUAAUUAUUUGUCGUCGACUUCCAGAUGGAAGUGUAUCAAAGUCAAAACUGCCUGAAAAUUGCGGUGACAUUAAGCGGUCCGUGCGACUAUCUCGGCUACGGACCUACGGUGAGGCCGCAUCCCAGUUGACCUUUUCCCGACAUAAAUUCAAAUCAACGCCCGACGCCUUUGUCGCAACCAUAAUGCAUCAGUAUACUUUCGCAGACGCUGUAAUCUGACUGCAAUCAGUGUUUUUAAGAACGACGCGGUGAUCUACUACGAUGAAGAAUUCGCUAUAAUCCCGCGGUGGAAUUGGACGGGCGGACCAAUGCCAUCGACAUCAUGAUUACAAAAGACUUCGGUUUCAGCUUCGAUCUCCACGGUUACGCCCUCCUUUUCCGCUGAUUGGCGGGCACCUGACUGUCAUUAUUGCCAUCCUUGCGCAGACCAUCUACCAGACCGCGCAGACCCGUUUACCGGCUAAUGGUCCAGCUGACGGCGACCGGUGACUUUUGUCUGCUGACCGUUUACAACACUGCUAUGGCGCAGCGUCAGCGGAAGAUCAGCCAGUUCAAGAAACCGGUUUUCCCCGACAUCAUUGUCUGGGUGAACCGGUUCCAACGCCCGACGCUGGUAUCCUUCAGCAAGGCCACGACCAAACAUGGACUACGGGAAACCGUGUCCGUUCGCCAUCUUCGCCGUCAGCAGACUGGAACCGUGAUACUAAUAGGACAGUAUUGAUAAGUACCAUACCAACCGCAUGGCUAUGGUUCGACCGGACCGAUCUGAACGCGCACACUCAAGAUCUGGACAUUACCGUCCGCGACGGAAGCACGAGCGGCUACGAUGACCAUCACUGCUACCAAGGAUUUCCAGAACGACCUGGUGAACAUCAAGAAGCGGUUACCCAUGACCACGCAUUCCUUCCUGUUUAUUACAAAUCUAAGCAUGUGUUAUCGCCGAUUGUACGAUAAACUACUGGGACGACACUCUCUCUAAGGAUGCGCUAGCCUUUUCGUCUACAUUCACGGUGCGCCGACGGUUUUUUUCCGAAAAUGCGAUAGGAUCACUCCGCCGCGUGAAAUUAGAACGCCACUCCUAGCCGCCCGGGGAUAUACCCGAACUAGACUCCGGGCCGCGAAAGCAUGGAAAGCAUUGGCAGGACACUAGCGACGUAGCGGCGACAGACUGCCAGCUGGAGUUCAUAUUGCAUUUGCGAAGACAACUUUAACGCACGUAGAGAUAAACGAGUGCCGCUAGCCGUGGAUCUUCUUCCGGAAUUACGAGAUGAUUGGGAAAGACAUCCGAUACGACGCUACCUUUUUCGCCAUGCACAGCGUCACUCGCGUCAACAUUUCCUUAAUUACGUCAAUAGCCAGAACUGGUAGCCGCGAAACAAUUUGUUCCCUUAAAUAUCAUGAAUAAAUUUGCAUGUGAUCAUCCCCAAAUUCACAAAGAAAAUAAUGUACCCCAAAAUACUGAUGGGUUUGAAUAAAAUGUCCACGGAGGUCCUUGAAGGCGGGGAUGGCUUCUACUUCG